CCCGCUUUAACGAUGAAUUACUUUAAUAUUGGAUAAUCAUAGGCAAUCACUUUUAAAACUCACGAGUAGACAACUUACAAUAACACAACGACAAGUUGUCUAAAUAAUAUAAUUCUCGAAGCUAUUGGUUUAAAAUCUCUACAACACAUCAAUAAAGUAAAAUAGACUAAGUGUUGCAGCGGAAAUAACUCAAGUGGAUUACAUGUAUGAGGACAUGAAAUCCUGAGCCUGGUUUAAUACAUAUACAUCAAAGAAUUUGCUCUGCUCGCUUCCAUCUGCACCACAGCUUAACCUGCAUAUUUAGAAACAUACGCAGGGCUGAGUACCAAAAAGCACUCAGUGGUCAUACCGAAAUAACUUUAAAGCUUGCUCUUAGAGCUAUAUAUUGAACUUGCCAUCUCAAUCAUCACACAGGAGUUUUAUUUAAAUAACCUGUGCAUGCAAGAAUGUAAAACUUCUCUAUAAUCGUCUUAACAUCAUAUACGUCUGCAGACAAUUAACAUGUAUGUACCAUAUCUACGCAUCAUAUAACUCUGAGUGUUGAGAAGUAGGCCUCCUUCUCAAACACGAUGACAAGCUAACACUAAGGUUAACUGCCAACUCUGUGUACACAAAUCCUGACUCGCUCAGGACCCGAAUUCGUUGUUCUAUGUAGAUGGUAUCAUACAAAUCUCAAAUAUUGGCAAGUCAAUAAUUGGAAAAUAAAUGCAUACACUCAAACUUUAUAUAAUAAAGUAUGCAUCUUUACUUCUUGAGUUAGUAAGCCCACCUGAUAUACUUAAUGAAGUAAAAGUCCUUGCUUGUUCACUUUAUAGCCACUCGAACCUUCAUUAUAAUGAGGUUCCCAGGUAAGAUUGGAUAAUAAGUAAGUAAAUAGAAAGUAAAUCUUGAAUGAAAACUUCUAUCACUUGAAAGUUGCAUCCUCUAAUGUGAGUAUUCUACUUAUAUGGACUUAACUAACUAAAAACAAACAAUAACAUCAUAUCUCUUGGGAUAUCUCAAAUUGAAAAAGUAUAAGAGUAAACUAAUCCAUUCCAUAUAGAUUAGCUUUCAAUUAAUAACUAAAACAUCAAUUCAACAAUUGACCAAUGACUUAAGCACAGUUGUACUCAACUAUCCCAAGUAAGUAACUUCAAAUAUGUAAUCAU
rnacentral:lncRNA from 1 species